rnacentral:rRNA from 1 species
AUGUUUGGGCUAUUUCUAUUUUUUGUAUUGGAUCAAAACAAAAAAGUUGUCUCAAUUUUUGAUCCGAUGCCAAUACCUACUUUGGGGAAUAAUGUACUUAAAAUUGUGGUCGACAACCUAAACCUUGCGCUUGAAGUUGCAAACCCUGCAUUCAAGGAUGAUAUCUCUAAAUGGGAAUGCAUAGUUCCUGUUGCUCCAACAAAUUCACACUGUGCCCUGUCCGGUUAUUUGGUUUUUAAUUACAUGCACUCAUUGUGCGACAGAAAACUAUAUUUUCCCAUACCCAAGGAUGGUUUCAGUUGA